rnacentral:lncRNA from 1 species
GCUUUCUUAUCUCAGGAAGUCCUGUGCUGUUAUCUAAUAUCUAUAGAUAAUUACUUUGUUUAACUGUUUAGCUGUAUACAGUGGUAGGGUAAAUCAGGUCUCUGUUACUCCAUUGUGACUGAAUGUCGAAAUACCCACUGAAUUUUACAUUACAGUUAUUUUAUUUCAAGAGGUUCUUUUGAGUUUUUUAUUUAUUUUUUUAGUUGUAGAUGGACACAGUACCUUUAUUUAUUUGUUUGUUUAUUUUUAUGUGGUGCUGAGACUUGAAUCACAGCCUCACAUAUGCUAGGGAAGCAUUCUACUACUGAGCCACAGCCCCAGCCCCUCUGUUUACUUUUUAAAAAUCUUCAUAUUUGGGCUGGCACGUGUGAAGCACAGAGUUCAAUCCUCAGCACCACACAAAAUAAAUAAAUAAAUAAAAAUAAAACAAAGGUAUUGUGUACACCUACAACUAAAUUUUUUUUAAAUCUUCAUGAUUAAUGUAUAAUUUCUUACUCCCUAAAAAUGUUUUCAAAUUUGUCUUCUAUUAGUUAAUAUAGUUUUACUGUAAUCCUUGAUAAUUCUAACAUGUGGAAGUCACCAUAAGUAUUAUUUUUACUGCCAUGUUCCUGGUGGUUAUUGCUCAAAGUGUUUUGUUUUUGUGUAUCUGGUUGUCUUGGACUGUGUUCUACUUAUUUGUUCAUCUUGGAGGACCACUAUAGAAAUUCUUAAAGGCCUAGGAUCAAGUCAUAGUCUUUCAGAAAUAAUAAGAUUUUUGAUGUAUAGGGGCAUUAGAAACUGCUUGAAACUCAGUUGUUGGCCUAAGUUUUGGUGAUAUGAAACAUUGGGCUUUAAAUUCAACAAGUCAGAAACUUUAAAAAUCUCCCCUUGUUUUGCUCAUUUCUAAAACAACUUUCCUUUCAUUCCCUAUUGUGUGGAAGGACUGGAUGCAAGCUCCUAG